AUAAUACUUCCUCCAUCCCAAAUUACUUGUCUUAAAUUUGUCUAGAUACGGAUGUAUCUAGAUACAUUUUACUGUUAGGUACAUCCGUAUCUAUAAAAUCUAAGACAAGUAAUUUCGGACAGAGGUAAUAGGAU
rfam:Triticum aestivum genome assembly, contig: Triticum_aestivum_CS42_TGACv1_scaffold_032244_1BL